AUAAUCUCUUUUUCUUUCAGGACAGCACAGAUUCCUGUCCCUAAUGUCCAUGAUGACUGCGCUCUGGACCUUAGGCCAUGGGUGCCCUAAUGAACCUGGACCCACAUGUGAUGAGGAGUUGCCCAACACGGUUGCCAUCAUCAAUCGGUUGAAGAAGAGCCUGGAGGAUUUGUAUAAGUCCUUUGUGGAUGGGGGUUAUGGAGGCAGAGAACUGAGAGGACCUGUGUGUAUACCGAGCAUUUCUGGCACCAGGGAUCAAUCUAUGGAUCUGGACACCACUGAAACAAGACUGUGUCAAUAUGCCAAGUGCUUUCAAAAUCUGGCACAAACAGUCAAGGAGAAUCCUGACAUAUCCCAAACUAGCUUUGACUUUUGCCAGAAGUACCUCAACCAGCUGAUAAACGCCACUAAGAAAAUGAAGAAACAGCCUCCAGCCUUAUGUAUGACUCACUGUAGAAUCUCCUGGUCCAACGCUUCAAACUGGGAGGAAAUCACCAAAGGACCCCGUCUAACCCAGGAGUUGCUGACCUAUCUGGAGGGGCUUCCAGUUCCAUGCAGUAGAGGAAACUAAAAGGCGUGUAGAUGCAUAAAUACAGACCUGUAGAGGAGAUUGUUGCUUCUGAGUAUUUAUAUAAAGUUUUCACCGUAUGUAUGGUUGGUAUUUCUUUCAAAUGAAAGAUGGGAAAGGAUUGUUGCAGUGUAGGGACAGUAUGUCUGUGUCUAGGAGAUGCUCUCAGCCCAAAUACCUCAGUCUGCAAAAGUUGGCUUCUCACAGUGCAAUCCUAUAUGUGUUUACUCAGAAGCGCUUCUAAAUAAAUGGACAAAGGGUUGAGCCGUAGAACAUGGAUCCUACUGGCAGUGCCAACAAGGGAUGAUCCCUUGAAUCAAUGGGAUUUACCCAUGUCUUUGCUCAAAAUUCUACAUUUGAUUCAGUGGAUCCUCUCAAUAGAAUCUAUGGUUUAAGAGUGCAUCUCUCUAUGUGACAAAUGCACAAGGCACAUAUAUGCACUCCUAGAAGAAGUGUGUGUGUGCGUGUAUGCAUACAUAUGUAGGUAUGAGUGGCCUGAUACAGAAUGAAGCCAAUGUUUCAGUGCAAUGCAUUCACAAGAAAUGUACCUUUAAGACAGUGUCCAGCACUUAAGAGGAUAAAAGCCAUUUGAUUUAUAUUAUCUGGUCAACCUAUUUAUAUAUUAAUGUUAAUAUUAUUGUUAUUAAUAAUAUCUGUGUUGUUUAUUCAUUCACUGUGAUCACAACUACUCCCCUUUGGAGAGUGAAAAUAUUUUAA
rnacentral:lncRNA from 11 species